rnacentral:tRNA from 1 species
AAGGACAAGAAAGACAAGGCCCCAAAACUUAAACCUUUACCACCAGAGGUUCAAAUCCUCUCUUUAACAUAA